rnacentral:ncRNA from 1 species
GGCAUUCCCGAGAUGGGAUUCCGGACGAUGGGUGCCGUACCCGGUGUGCGACAAGACGGCCCGCG